GAAAGAGAAGGGGAAAAAGAUACAUUCGUUAUUUUCUAUUGGCUAAACGAGGGAUCGCGUCACAUUUGAUGGACAGAGAACCAACUACACCAGUGAAGCUAGAACAUCGUGGAAUAGGUAACUAACAGAUGUAGAGGAAAAGACCAGUAGACUGGAUGUUUUAUCUACCUGUCUAGAACCAGUCUAGAACCAGUCUAAAACCAGUCUAGAACUAACUACACCAGUGAAGCUAGAACAUUGUGGAAUAGGUAACUAACAGAUGUAGAGGAAAAGACCAGUAGACUGGAUGUUUUAUCUACCUGUCUAGAACCAGUCUAGAACCAGUCUAAAACCAGUCUAGAACCAACUACACCAGUGAAGCUAGAACAUCGUGGAAUAGGUAACUAACAGAUGUAGAGGAAAAGACCAGUAGACUGGAUGUUUUAUCUACCUGUCUAGAACCAGUCUAGAACCAGUCUAGAACCAACUACACCAGUGAAGCUAGAACAUCGUGGAAUAGGUAACUAACAGAUGUAGAGGAAAAGACCAGUAGACUGGAUGUUUUAUCUACCAGUCUAGAACCAGUCUAGAACCAGACUAGAACCAGUCUAGAACCAGUCUAGAACCAGUCUAGAACCAGUCUAGAACCAGUCUAAAACCAGUCUAGAACCAACUACACCAGUGAAGCUAGAACAUCGUGGAAUAGGUAACUAACAGAUGUAGAGGAAAAGACCAGUAGACUGGAUGUUUUAUCUACCUGUCUAGAACCAGUCUAGAACCAGUCUAGAACCAGUCUAGAACCAACUACACCAGUGAAGCUAGAACAUUGUGGAAUAGGUAACUAACAGAUGUAGAGGAAAAGACCAGUAGACUGGAUGUUUUAUCUACCUGUCUAGAACCAGUCUAGAACCAGUCUAGAACCAACUACACCAGUGAAGCUAGAACAUCGUGGAAUAGGUAACUAACAGAUGUAGAGGAAAAGACCAGUAGACUGGAUGUUUUAUCUACCUGUCUAGAACCAGUCUAGAACCAGUCUAGAACCAGUCUAGAACCAACUACACCAGUGAAGCUAGAACAUUGUGGAAUAGGUAACUAACAGAUGUAGAGGAAAAGACCAGUAGACUGGAUGUUUUAUCUACCUGUCUAGAACCAGUCUAGAACCAGUCUAGAACCAACUACACCAGUGAAGCUAGAACAUCGUGGAAUAGGUAACUAACAGAUGUAGAGGAAAAGACCAGUAGACUGGAUGUUUUAUCUACCUGUCUAGAACCAGUCUAGAACCAGUCUAGAACCAGUCUAGAACCAACUACACCAGUGAAGCUAGAACAUCGUGGAAUAGGUAACUAACAGAUGUAGAGGAAAAGACCAGUAGACUGGAUGUUUUAUCUACCUGUCUAGAACCAGUCUAGAACCAGUCUAGAACCAAACCAGUCUAGAACCAGUCUAGAACCAACUACACCAGUGAAGCUAGAAUAUCGUGGAAUAGGUAACUAAUAGAUGUAGAGGAAAAGACCAGUAGACUGGAUGUUUUAUCUACCUGUCUAAAACCAGUCUAGAACCAGUCUAGAACCAGUCUAGAACCAGACUAAAACCAGUCUAGAACCAGUCUAGAACCAGACUAAAACCAGUCUAGAACCAACUACAUCAGUGAAGCUAGAACAUCGUGGAAUAGGUAACUAACAGAUGUAGAGGAAAAGACCAGUAGACUGGAUGUUUUAUCUACCUGUCUAGAACCAGUCUAGAACCAGUCUAGAACCAGUCUAGAACCAACUACACCAGUGAAGCUAGAACAUUGUGGAAUAGGUAACUAACAGAUGUAGAGGAAAAGACCAGUAGACUGGAUGUUUUAUCUACCUGUCUAGAACCAGUCUAGAACCAGUCUAGAACCAACUACACCAGUGAAGCUAGAACAUCGUGGAAUAGGUAACUAACAGAUGUAGAGGAAAAGACCAGUAGACUGGAUGUUUUAUCUACCUGUCUAGAACCAGUCUAGAACCAGUCUAGAACCAACUACACCAGUGAAGCUAGAACAUCGUGGAAUAGGUAACUAACAGAUGUAGAGGAAAAGACCAGUAGACUGGAUGUUUUAUCUACCUGUCUAGAACCAGUCUAGAACCAGUCUAGAACCAACUACACCAGUGAAGCUAGAACAUCGUGGAAUAGGUAACUAACAGAUGUAGAGGAAAAGACCAGUAGACUGGAUGUUUUAUCUACCAGUCUAGAACCAGUCUAGAACCAGACUAGAACCAGUCUAGAACCAGUCUAGAACCAGUCUAAAACCAGUCUAAAACCAGUCUAGAACCAACUACACCAGUGAAGCUAGAACAUCGUGGAAUAGGUAACUAACAGAUGUAGAGGAAAAGACCAGUAGACUGGAUGUUUUAUCUACCUGUCUAGAACCAGUCUAGAACCAGUCUAGAACCAGUCUAGAACCAACUACACCAGUGAAGCUAGAACAUUGUGGAAUAGGUAACUAACAGAUGUAGAGGAAAAGACCAGUAGACUGGAUGUUUUAUCUACCUGUCUAGAACCAGUCUAGAACCAGUCUAGAACCAACUACACCAGUGAAGCUAGAACAUCGUGGAAUAGGUAACUAACAGAUGUAGAGGAAAAGACCAGUAGACUGGAUGUUUUAUCUACCUGUCUAGAACCAGUCUAGAACCAGUCUAGAACCAACUACACCAGUGAAGCUAGAACAUCGUGGAAUAGGUAACUAACAGAUGUAGAGGAAAAGACCAGUAGACUGGAUGUUUUAUCUACCAGUCUAGAACCAGUCUAGAACCAGACUAGAACCAGUCUAGAACCAGUCUAAAACCAGUCUAGAACCAGUCUAGAACCAGUCUAAAACCAGUCUAGAACCAACUACACCAGUGAAGCUAGAACAUCGUGGAAUAGGUAACUAACAGAUGUAGAGGAAAAGACCAGUAGACUGGAUGUUUUAUCUACCUGUCUAGAACCAGUCUAGAACCAGUCUAGAACCAGUCUAGAACCAACUACACCAGUGAAGCUAGA